rnacentral:lncRNA from 1 species
GUCUUCAACGCCGCCGUUGCCGACUACUAUUAUGCCUUCCUCUGCGCCGGUGAGCUCUUCUUCGCCGCCUGAUUACCUGAAUCGGGUCGUCUCCGAUGAUGAGCGAUCCGAUCACGGUGGAUAUCGGAAACCGAUUCCUCCUCAGCCUCAGCAGCAGCAGAGUCUGCCUCCUCAGUCUCAGCCCAAAUCUACCGGACUUUUUGAUUUGCCGUCGCCAGAUUCAGUGUCAAGGUAUGCUUUACUUUUCACUUAACAAACUAAUCUGUUGAAUCGUGCUCUAUUUUUGGUUGUUCAUUUGUGUUUCAAUAUAGGAUUUUACUUCAUAGACAAGUUUGCAAGUUUGCAUGUUUACUUCAUAGACUGUUAUUGUUGAUCGGAUUCAUUACCACUGAGGUGUUGUUGAUUGUGGCAUUUUUUUUUUUUUGCUUUGGUGGAUACGAAUUUGCAGUGAUCAUAGUUUAUCAAAUGUUGCCGUGUCACGCCCAAAACCUGUAGUUUAUCAAGAACCAGUUGCUCAGAUACCCUCUGGAACCCCCACUAGGUUUCCUGCAAACCUUGUUGAUUCUAAAGUUAAUGUCUCUGAUCCCAACACUCGGGUUCAGAUGCAACAACAGGUGCAGGAUUCCGGGUAUGUAUUACAAAACCAGUAUGAUCAACAGCUACAACAGCAGCAACUACUACAACAACAACUACAACAGCAGCAGCAAUUUAUACACCCCGGUGCACAGUACAUGCAUCAUCACCCUGCUGGAUCUGUGCCAAUUCAGGCAUACUACCCUGUAUAUCCUUCUCAGCAGCAGCACCACCAGCAGCAACAGCAGCAACAACAGCAGCAACACCACCACCAUCAGCUUGAUCAGCAGCAGCAAUACCAGGUUUAUUACAUGCCCGCAAGACAGGCCCCACCCUACAGCAACUUGCCCCUGCAGCAAUCGCUGCAGUCCAACAUGAGUGAAGCUGCUGGCGCUGCUACUAUUGCUUCUAGCCGCUCUCAAACGCCUCCGAAUCCCAUGCUAUCUCCCACCGCAGCUUACAGCCAAGUAAGGAAUGCUCCCAUUGCCAAAUCCGAAAUUGCUGCUCCUGUGUACAGGACAACAACUACAGCUGCUCCUCCAUCUCUGAUUCAAGGUCCUCCUUCUCAGCAUCAGCCUCAGCAACAAUAUGUUGGUUACGCACAGGUUCACCCGUCUCAAUCAACUGUUCCUACUUCAACGGGUGCUGCUAAUUAUGCAUAUGAAUAUGCUGAUGCUUCUCAUGCUCAGCAUGCCCAGAUAUACUAUACUCAGCCCCCCCUGGCACAUGCAAUG